UACGUAGGGACCGAGCGUUGUCCGGAAUCAUUGGGCGUAAAGAGCGUGUAGGCGGCUAUUUAAGUCCUGCGUGAAAUCCUGCGGCUCAACCGCAGCGGUCGUGGGAAACUGGAUGGCUAGAGUGCGGGAGAGGAGAGUGGAAUUCCCGGUGUAGCGGUGAAAUGCGCAGAUAUCGGGAAGAACACCCGUGGCGAAGGCGGCUCUCGUCGGGUGCC
rnacentral:rRNA from 1 species